AUUGAACGCUGGCGGCAUGCCUUACACAUGCAAGUCGAACGGCAGCACGGGUGCUUGCACCUGGUGGCGAGUGGCGAACGGGUGAGUAAUACAUCGGAACGUACCUUAUCGUGGGGGAUAACGCAGCGAAAGUUGCGCUAAUACCGCAUACGCCCUGAGGGGGAAAGCGGGGGACCGUAAGGCCUCGCGCGAUUAGAGCGGCCGAUGUCUGAUUAGCUUGUUGGUGAGGUAAAAGCUCACCAAGGCGAUGAUCAGUAGCUGGUCUGAGAGGACGAUCAGCCACGCUGGGACUGAGACACGGCCCAGACUCCGACGGGAGGCAGCAGUGGGGAAUUUUGGACAAUGGGGGCAACCCUGAUCCAGCAAUGCCGCGUGAGUGAAGAAGGCCUUCGGGUUGUAAAGCUCUUUUGUCAGGGAAGAAACAGCAGCUCUAACACAGUCUGCGAAUGACGGUACCUGAAGAAUAAGCACCGGCUAACUACGUGCCAGCAGCCGCCGUAA
rnacentral:rRNA from 1 species